AGCUCCAAUAGCGUAUAUUAAAGUUGUUGCAGUUAAAAGCUCGUAGUUGGAUUUCUGGCUGGAAGGGGGCGGUCCACCUCGCGGUGAGAACUUUCACCUUCUGCCAUCCUCUCGGGGACGGGUGGUGCCAUUGACUUGGUGCUGCACGGGCCCGGGACCUUUACUUUGAAAAAUUAGAGUGUUCAAAGCAGGCCUACGCUUGAAUACAUUAGCAUGGAAUAAUGGAAUAGGACUUUGGUUCUAUUUUGUUGGUUUCUAGGACCGAAGUAAUGAUUAAUAGGGACAGUUGGGGGCAUUAGUAUUUAAUUGUCAGAGGUGAAAUUCUUGGAUUUAUGAAAGACUAACUACUGCGAAAGCAUUUGCCAAGGAUGUUUUCA
rnacentral:rRNA from 1 species